AUGAACGCUAGCGGCAGGCUUAACACAUGCAAGUCGAGGGGCAACACGGGUAGCAAUACCUGGUGGCGACCGGCGCAAGGGUGCGUAACGCGUGAGCAGCAUGCCCUAUACAGGGGGAUAAUCCAGGGAAACUUGGUCUAAUAUCCCAUAGUAUUUAGAGGUGGCAUCACCACUAAAUUAAAGCUUCGGUGGUAUAGGAUUGGCUCGCGUGACAUUAGCUGGAUGGUGGGGUAACGGCUCACCAUGGCGAUGAUGUCUAGGGGUUCUGAGAGGAAGACCCCCCACACUGGGACUGAGACACGGCCCAGACUCCUACGGGAGGCAGCAGUGAGGAAUAUUGGACAAUGGAUGGAAAUCUGAUCCAGCCAUGCCGCGUGCAGGAAGACGGCCCUAUGGGUUGUAAACUGCUUUUAUAUGGGAGCAAUAAGGUUUACGCGUAGACCGAUGAGAGUACCAUAUGAAUAAGCAUCGGCUAACUCCGUG
rnacentral:rRNA from 1 species